GCCUACAACAAGACACAUCAUAGUUUCUAUGGCCAAGCCCAAUCCUGUCUAAUCUCAGAAGCUAAGAAGGGUCGGGCCUGGUUAGUACUUGGAUGGGAGACCAUCUAGGAAGACCAGGCACUGUAGGCA
rnacentral:rRNA from 1 species